AUUGAACGCUGGCGGCAUGCCUUACACAUGCAAGUCGAACGGUAACAGGUCUUCGGAUGCUGACGAGUGGCGGACGGGUGCGUAAUACAUCGGAACGUGCCCAGACGUGGGGGUUAACGAGGCGAAAGCUUUGCUAAUACCGCAUACGAUCUAAGGCUGAAAGCAGGGGACCGCAAGGCCUUGUGCGUUUGGAGCGGCCGAUGGCAGAUUAGGUAGUUGGUGGGAUAAAAGCUUACCAAGCCGACGCUCUGUAGCUGGUCUGAGAGGACGACCAGCCACACUGGGACUGAGACACGGCCCAGACUCCUACGGGAGGCAGCAGUGGGGAAUUUUGGACAAUGGGCGAAAGCCUGAUCCAGCAAUGCCGCGUGCAGUAUGAAGGCCUUCGGGUUGUAAACUGCUUUUGUACGGAACGAAAAGGCUCUGGCUAAUACCUGGGGUACAUGACGGUACCGUAAGAAUAAGCACCGGCUAACUACGUG
rnacentral:rRNA from 1 species